rnacentral:rRNA from 1 species
UACGUAGGGGGCAAGCGUUAUCCGGAUUUACUGGGUGUAAAGGGAGCGUAGACGGCGGUGCAAGCCAGAUGUGAAAGCCCGGGGCUCAACCCCGGGACUGCAUUUGGAACUGUAUGGCUGGAGUGUCGGAGAGGCAGGCGGAAUUCCUAGUGUAGCGGUGAAAUGCGUAGGUAUUAGGAGGAACACCAGUGGCGAAGGCGGCCUGCUGGACGAUGACUGACGUUGAGGCUCGAAAGCGUGGGGAGCAAACAGG